AUCAGUAAAGGCACUACCAAGAGCCGCGCCUAUCAGCCUUAUUACAAUAAUGGACUGGUCCUUUGGCCCAUAGUCCAUCCAUCAGCCCUGUGGAGCCACUGCAUAAUUCAUCUGAUAACUAAUUUUUCUGGGAAACUACGAAUUUCUACAAACAUCUGUAAAACACAAAGUGAAAUCAUCUCCCCAGUAGAGCAAUGACAUUUUCUGACCCCCUCCAUAAUGAUGGACCCAUCCAGAGGAGUCAUGAGCAGUUACAUGAUUGCAUAACUCCUGGGUGCCUGACAAUUGCUUACCUACAAGGCACACACAGUACAAGUAUGAGACUGCCAACAUAUCUCUUGCUGUGAAUUCACUUGCAUAUUGAGGCCAUGCACUGCACCUAC